CCAGGAUGUUGGCUUAGAAGCAGCCAUUCAUUUAAAGAGUGCGUAAUAGCUCACUGGUCAAGUGGUCCUGCGCCGAAAAUUCAACGGGGCUGAAGCCUAUCACCGAAACUUGGAUAGUAGUCUUAAAAGAUUACUAGGUAGGAGAGCGUUCCCUGGCGGUGGAAGUAAGACCGAAAGGACUUAUGGACGGCAGGGAAGUGAGAAUGCCGGUAUGAGUAGCGAUAAGGCAGGUGAGAAUCCUGCCCGCCGAAAACCUAAGGGUUCCUGAGGAAGGGUCGUCCGCUCAGGGUAAGUCGGGACCUAAGCUGAGGGCGAAAGCCGUAGGCGAUGGACAAUCGGUUGAUAUUCCGAUACCACCCUGGAACCGCCCAUGGGAAUCAUAAGUUCUGAGUUAUAGCUUCGGUUAUGGCAAAGGGGUUAUGAGGACCAAGCGAUGGGGUGACGCAGAAGGGUAAGCCAUCAGGCGACUGGAAGAGCCUGUCUAAGGGUGUAGGAGGUGGCAUAGGCAAAUCCGUGCCACAUAUACUCCGAGGCCUAAUGGGGACGUGAAAUUGUAGUAACGGAACUGGCUGACCCCAUGCUGCCAAGAAAAGCCUCUAGCGAGGGGCCGGGGUGCCCGUACCGCAAACCGACACAGGUAGGUGGGGUGAGAAUCCUAAGGCGCGCGAGAGAACUCUCGUUAAGGAACUCGGCAAAUUGACCCUGUAACUUUGGAAGAAAGGGUGCCCUGAUAGUGUGGUAUAGGCAUGCCUUAUGCUGCAUGAGAGGGCCGCAGAGAAAAGGCCCAAGCGACUGUUUAUCAAAAACACAGGUCUCUGCUAAGUCGAAAGACGAUGUAUAGGGGCUGACGCCUGCCCAGUGCCGGAAGGUUAAGGGGAAGGGUUAGCGCAAGCGAAGCUCUGAACCGAAGCCCCGGUGAACGGCGGCCGUAACUAUAACGGUCCUAAGGUAGCGAAAUUCCUUGUCGGGUAAGUUCCGACCCGCACGAAUGGCGUAACGACUUGGGCGCUGUCUCAACGAGAGGCUCGGCGAAAUUAUAAAUACCCGUGAAGAUGCGGGUUACCCGCGACAAGACGGAAAGACCCCGUGGAGCUUUACUGUAGCCUGAGAUUGGAUUUUGGUAUGUUAUGUACAGGAUAGGUGGGAGGCUGGGAAAGGGUGACGCCAGUUGCCCUGGAGCCGAUGUUGGGAUACCACCCUUAAUGUGCUGGAGUUCUAACCCUUAUCCGUAAUCCGGGUGGGGGACAUUCUCUGGUGGGCAGUUUGACUGGGGCGGUCGCCUCCCAAAAGGUAACGGAGGCGCCCAAAGGUUCCCUCAGCGCGGUUGGAAAUCGCGCUCGUAGAGUGCAAAGGCAUAAGGGAGCUUGACUGCGAGAGCAACAACUCGAGCAGGAUGGAAACAUGGGCUUAGUGAUCCGGUGGCACUGCGUGGAAGGGCCAUCGCUCAACGGAUAAAAGCUACCCCGGGGAUAACAGGCUGAUUUCCCCCAAGAGUCCACAUCGACGGGGAAGUUUGGCACCUCGAUGUCGGCUCGUCGCAUCCUGGAGCUGGAGCAGGUUCCAAGGGUUGGGCUGUUCGCCCAUUAAAGCGGCACGCGAGCUGGGUUCAGAACGUCGUGAGACAGUUCGGUCCCUAUCUGUCGUGGGCGCAGGAGAUUUGAGGGGAGCCGUCCCUAGUACGAGAGGACCGGGAUGGAUGUACCGAUGGUGUACCAGUUAUUCCGCCAGGAGUAUAGCUGGGAAGCUAAGUACAGAAGGGAUAAGCGCUGAAAGCAUCUAAGCGCCAAGCCCACCCCAAGAUGAGAUCUCCCACGGAUUAGUCCGGUAAGACCCCAGAGAGAUUAUCUGGUGGAUAGGCCGGCGGUGUAAGGAUAGCGAUAUCUUCAGCUAGCCGGUACUAAUAGGUCGAGGGCUUGACCU
rnacentral:rRNA from 1 species